ACGAACGCUGGCGGCGUGCUUAACCCCUGCAAGUCGAACGCUGAAGCUCAGCUUUUGUUGGGUGGAUGAGUGGCGAACGGGUGAGUAACACGUGAGUAACCUGCCCCCUUCUUUGGGAUAACGCCCGGAAACGGGUGCUAAUACUGGAUAUUCACUGGUCUUCGCAUGGGGGUUGGUGGAAAGGGUUUUUCUGGUGGGGGAUGGGCUCGCGGCCUAUCAGCUUGUUGGUGGGGUGAUGGCCUACCAAGGCUUUGACGGGUAGCCGGCCUGAGAGGGUGACCGGUCACAUUGGGACUGAGAUACGGCCCAGACUCCUACGGGAGGCAGCAGUGGGGAAUAUUGCACAAUGGGCGCAAGCCUGAUGCAGCGACGCCGCGUGAGGGAUGGAGGCCUUCGGGUUGUGAACCUCUUUCGCUCAUGGUCAAGCCGCAACAAUGGUUGUGGUGAGGGUAGUGGGUAAAGAAGCGCCGGCUAACUACGUG
rnacentral:rRNA from 1 species